CCCAUUCUCACUCCAAAGGCGUCAAAAACCGAAGCAUGGUCAAGCGCCCCUAGCGUCACUUUUAUGACGCCAAAUGUGCCUCUCGGCGUCGACUAUCGAAGCACUACGACCUUCAUUGCUUUCAGUGGGAAACUUUUGGCGUCAGAAUUCGACACGAGGACAUGAGAUGUUUAUCGCUAUGAAAUCACGUUCAAGAAGUCUCAUUCAGCACACAUCGCGCGAUACUUGCUAUCAGUUCCACAGUUUGGCUGAAAAGACGUAAAGGCAGUCAGCCCAGUGGUGUUUCUGGAGAGGGAUUCCUUCAGAAAUGGAGAAGACAGAAAGCUGCGGAGGCAGAUAUUUGCAGCAGAUUUUUUCCAGAUAAUGCUGUUCUUCUUUUUCAGGUCUAAAAUAUCGAGCUCAACAGCUAUUUUAAGAGCCAACCCUCACAAACCUUCCUAAAACCUAAAAGAGCUAUUACUGAGUCUCAGCGAAUCUUGCCAUGAUCAGCUCUUCCCAGAAGAGAAGGAAGACCAAGGAUAUGAUUUGCUCAGGAUGAGGAAUGAAGAUGGCCAUCUUGAGCUCAAACAAACAGAAGUCCUCUGGUAUGUGUGUGUUGAAGCAAUGUUAUACAACAUUUUAUGAUGAUCUCUCACAGAACUGGUCAUGUCAGCCUUGAUUUCGUUUUAUACUAUUACAAUUACAGCAUGUUAGCAAAGUGUGACUGGACAUUUUUAAUAUUAUGUUUUUAAAAACACACCACCUGUUUUAUUAGCAGACAAGUGUCAUGAAAUUGGUUUAGUUGAUAUAAACACCAAUUGACAUUAUUUCAUUGUUUUGUAAAUGUUAUGUUAUUAAUUGUGAAUUGAUAGUUGAUUGGUUUGAAGCCAGGCAUUACACUGCACAGACUAAAACACGUUUGUGAGAGAAGUCAGGAACUUUGGAGAAAGAUUCUAGAGGAAAAAAAACACAUUUACUGCAACAACAGAUGAAUUCUAGAGUCUCUGAGAA